GACGAACGCUGGCGGCGUGCUUAACACAUGCAAGUCGAACGGAAAGGCCUCAGCUUGCUGGGGUACUCGAGUGGCGAACGGGUGAGUAACACGUGGGUGAUCUGCCUUGCACUCUGGGAUAAGCUUGGGAAACUGGGUCUAAUACCGGAUAUGAACUGCCUUUAGUGUGGUGGUUGGAAAGUUUUUUCGGUGCAAGAUGAGCUCGCGGGCUAUCAGCUUGUUGGUGGGGUAAUGGCCUACCAAGGCGUCGACGGGUAGCCGGCCUGAGAGGGUGUACGGCGACAUUGGGACUGAGAUACGGCCCAGACUCCUACGGGAGGCAGCAGUGGGGAAUAUUGCACAAUGGGCGGAAGCCUGAUGCAGCGACGCCGCGUGGGGGAUGACGGCCCUCGGGUUGUAAACUCCUUUCGACAGGGACGAAGCUUUUUGUGACGGUACCUGUAUAAGAAGCACCGGCUAACUACGUG
rnacentral:rRNA from 1 species